GGGAUACCAUGUUCAGAAGAACGUGGUAUCUC
rnacentral:misc_RNA from 1 species